UUAACCGACUGAGCCACCCAGGCGCCUCUCUAUAGUGUGAAGCAGCCUCCGCCUGGAAGUGCAAACACCAACGGCGGAUCCAAGUUCGGAGCAUCUUCCAGGAUGCCCCAGGAAAGGGGCUCGGCAGACAGGCCCCCAGGCCCAACGUGGCAUCACUGGUGGCGUCGGCAGCAAACUGGCUGGAACUGUUAGGUCGGCUGAUGGAGACUCAGGCACAGGGACAUCGAGUAGCUUGCCUCAGGACACACAGUGGCUGAGUGGAAUUUAAGCCCAGGCGGUCUGGGUUCAG